rnacentral:rRNA from 1 species
CAGCCGCCGCGGUAAUACGUAGGUGGCGAGCGUUAUCCCGAAUUAUUGGGCGUAAAGGGUGCGUAGGCGGCCUGUUAAGUAAGUGGUUAAAUUGUUGGGCUCAACCCAAUCCAGCCACUUAAACUGGCAGGCUAGAGUAUUGGAGAGGCAAGUGGAAUUCCAUGUGUAGCGGUAAAAUGCGUAGAUAUAUGGAGGAACACCGGUGGCGAAAGCGGCCCUCUGGCUUGUAACUGACGCUGAGGCUCGAAAGCGCGGGGAGCAAACAGGAUUAGAUACCCGAGUAGUCCCUGUCUCUUAUACC